rfam:Oryza barthii chromosome 4, whole genome shotgun sequence.
AAUGUUUGACGCUAUUGACUUUUUAUCACAUGUUUGACCGUUCGUCUUAUUCAAAAAAUUUAAGUAAUUAUUAAUUCUUUUCCUAUCAUUUGAUUCAUUGUUAAAUAUAUUUUUAUAUAGGCAUAUAAUUUUACAUAUCUCAUAAAAGUUUUUGAAUAAGACGAACGGUCAAACAUGUGCUAAAAAGUCAACGGUGUCAAACAUU